GAACAAACGCUGGCGGCGUGCCUAACACAUGCAAGUCGAACGAGAAAGUCGGUUUCGGCCAAUGAGUAAAGUGGCGCACGGGUGAGUAACGCGUGGAUAAUCUACCCUUUAGUCCGGAAUAACUUGCCGAAAGGUGAACUAAUACCGGAUGACAUCCCGGGUUCUCCGGAAACCGGGAUCAAAGAAGGCCUCUGCUUGCAAGCUUUUGCUGAAGGAUGAGUCCGCGUACCAUUAGCUAGUUGGUGGGGUAAUGGCCUACCAAGGUUAUGAUGGUUAGCUGGUCUGAGAGGAUGAUCAGCCACACUGGAACUGAAACACGGUCCAGACUCCUACGGGAGGCAGCAGUGAGGAAUAUUGCGCAAUGGGGGCAACCCUGACGCAGCAACGCCGCGUGAGUGAGGAAGGUUUUCGGAUUGUAAAGCUCUGUCGAGCGGAAAGAAAUGCACGAUGGCUAAUAUCCAUCAUGCUUGACGGUACCGCUAGAGGAAGCACCGGCUAACUCCGUGCCAGCAGCCGCGGUAACACGUAGGAGGCAAACGUUAUCCGGAUUUACUGGGCGUAAAGCGCGUGUAGGUGGUACUGUAAGUAGGGCGUGAAAGCUCCUGGCUCAACUGGGAGAGGCCGUUCUAAACUACAGAACUAGAGGAUGGUAGAGGGAGGUGGAAUUCCAGGUGUAGCGGUGGAAUGCGCAGAUAUCUGGAGGAACACCGGUGGCGAAGGCGGCCUCCUGGACCAUUCCUGACACUCAGACGCGAAAGCUAGGGUAGCAAACGGGAUUAGAGACCCCGGUAGUCCUAGCCCUAAACGAUGUAGACUAGGCGUCGGAAGUUUAAUCACUUUCGGUGUCCAAGCUAACGCGAUAAGUCUACCGCCUGGGGACUACGGCCGCAAGGUUAAAACUCAAAGGAAUUGACGGGUCCCCGCACAAGCAGCGGAGCGUGUGGUUUAAUUCGUUGCUACACGAAGAACCUUACCUGGGUUUGACAUAGCAGUGGUAGGGAAGCGAAAGCGGACCGACCCUUCGGGGAGCUGUUACAGGUGUUGCAUGGCUGUCGUCAGCUCGUGUCGUGAGAUGUUCGGUUAAGUCCGCUAACGAGCGCAACCCGCGUUGUGUGUUACAAGUGUCACACAAUACCGCCGGUAUUAAGUCGGAGGAAGGUGCGGAUGACGUCAAGUCAGCAUGACCUUUAUAUCCAGGGCUACACACACGCUACAAUGGUCAGCACAAUAGGUUGCCAAGUCGUGAGACGGAGCCAAUCCUCCAAAGCUGGCCUCAGUUCAGAUUGCAGGCUGCAACUCGCCUGCAUGAAGUUGGAGUUGCUAGUAACCGCAGGUCAGCUAUACUGCGGUGAAUACGUUCCCGGGGAU
rnacentral:rRNA from 1 species